GGCGGCGUGCUUAACACAUGCAAGUCGAGCGGAAAGGCCCUUCGGGGUACUCGAGCGGCGAACGGGUGAGUAACACGUGAGUAACCUGCCCUGGACUUUGGGAUAACCCUCGGAAACGGGGGCUAAUACCGAAUACGACAGCAGCUUCGCAUGAAGUCUGUGUGGAAAGUUUUUCGGUCUGGGAUGGACUCGCGGCCUAUCAGCUUGUUGGUGGGGUAAUGGCCUACCAAGGCGACGACGGGUAGCCGGCCUGAGAGGGCGACCGGCCACACUGGGACUGAGACACGGCCCAGACUCCUACGGGAGGCAGCAGUGGGGAAUAUUGCACAAUGGGCGGAAGCCUGAUGCAGCGACGCCGCGUGAGGGAUGACGGCCUUCGGGUUGUAAACCUCUUUCAGCAGGGACGAAGCGCAAGUGACGGUACCUGCAGAAGAAGCGCCGGCCAACUACGUGCCAGCAGCCGCGGUAAGACGUAGGGCGCGAGCGUUGUCCGGAUUUAUUGGGCGUAAAGAGCUCGUAGGCGGCUUGUCGCGUCGAAUGUGAAAUCUCAGGGCUCAACUCUGACAUUGCAUUCGAUACGGGCAGGCUAGAGUUCGGUAGGGGAGACUGGAAUUCCUGGUGUAGCGGUGAAAUGCGCAGAUAUCAGGAGGAACACCGGUGGCGAAGGCGGGUCUCUGGGCCGAUACUGACGCUGAGGAGCGAAAGCGUGGGGAGCGAACAGGAUUAGAUACCCUGGUAGUCCACGCUGUAAACGUUGGGCGCUAGGUGUGGGGACCCUCUCCGGGUUUCUGCGCCGCAGCUAACGCAUUAAGCGCCCCGCCUGGGGAGUACGGCCGC
rnacentral:rRNA from 1 species